AGUGAACGCUGGCGGUAGGCCUAACACAUGCAAGUCGAACGGCAGCACAGUAAGAGCUUGCUCUUACGGGUGGCGAGUGGCGGACGGGUGAGGAAUACAUCGGAAUCUACUUUUUCUGGGGGGAUAACGUAGGGAAACUUACGCUAAUACCGCAUACGACCUACGGGUGAAAGCAGGGGAUCUUCGGACCUUGCGCGACUGAAUGAGCCGAUGUCGGAUUAGCUAGUUGGCGGGGUAAAGGCCCACCAAGGCAACGAUCCGUAGCUGGUCUGAGAGGAUGAUCAGCCACACUGGAACUGAGACACGGUCCAGACUCCUACGGGAGGCAGCAGUGGGGAAUAUUGGACAAUGGGCGCAAGCCUGAUCCAGCAAUGCCGCGUGGGUGAAGAAGGCCUUCGGGUUGUAAAGCCCUUUUGUUGGGAAAGAAAAGCAGCAGGUUAAUACCCCGCUGUUCUGACGGUACCCAAAGAAUAAGCACCGGCUAACUUCGUG
rnacentral:rRNA from 1 species